rnacentral:rRNA from 1 species
UNNGCUGGCGGCAUGCUUUNACAUGCAANUCGAACGGUAACAGGCCGCAAGGUGCUGACGAGUGGCGAACGGGUGAGUAAUGCAUCGGAACGUGCCCAGUCGUGGGGGAUAACGCAGCGAAAGCUGCGCUAAUACCGCAUACGAUCUAUGGAUGAAAGCGGGGGACCGUAAGGCCUCGCGCGAUUGGAGCGGCCGAUGUCAGAUUAGGUAGUUGGUGGGGUAAAGGCUCACCAAGCCAACGAUCUGUAGCUGGUCUGAGAGGACGACCAGCCACACUGGGACUGAGACACGGCCCAGACUCCUACGGGAGGCAGCAGUGGGGAAUUUUGGACAAUGGGCGCAAGCCUGAUCCAGCAAUGCCGCGUGCAGGAAGAAGGCCUUCGGGUUGUAAACUGCUUUUGUACGGAACGAAACGGCUCUGGUUAAUACCUGGGGCUAAUGACGGUACCGUAAGAAUAAGCACCGGCUAACUACGUGCCAGCAGCCGCGGUAAUACGUAGGGUGCAAGCGUUAAUCGGAAUUACUGGGCGUAAAGCGUGCGCAGGCGGUUUUGUAAGACAGGCGUGAAAUCCCCGGGCUCAACCUGGGAAUGGCGCUUGUGACUGCAAAGCUGGAGUGCGGCAGAGGGGG